AGUGAACGCUGGCGGUAGGCCUAACACAUGCAAGUCGAACGGCAGCACAGUAAGAGCUUGCUCUUACGGGUGGCGAGUGGCGGACGGGUGAGGAAUACAUCGGAAUCUACUUUUUCGUGGGGGAUAACGUAGGGAAACUUACGCUAAUACCGCAUACGACCUACGGGUGAAAGCAGGGGAUCUUCGGACCUUGCGCGAUUGAAUGAGCCGAUGUCGGAUUAGCUAGUUGGCGGGGUAAAGGCCCACCAAGGCGACGAUCCGUAGCUGGUCUGAGAGGAUGAUAGGCCACACUGGAACUGAGACACGGUCCAGACUCCUACGGGAGGCAGCAGUGGGGAAUAUUGGACAAUGGGCGCAAGCCUGAUCCAGCCAGACCGAGUGGGUGAAGAAGGCCUUCGGGUUGUAAAGCCCUUUUGUUGGGAAAGAAAAGCAGCAGGUUAAUACCCCGCUGUUCUGACGGUACCCAAAGAAUAAGCACCGGCUAACUUCGUG
rnacentral:rRNA from 1 species